GACGAACGCUGGCGGCGUGCUUAACACAUGCAAGUCGAGCGAUGAAGCACCUUCGGGUGUGAAUUAGCGGCGAACGGGUGAGGAACACGUGAGAAAUCUGCCUUCAACACUGGGAUAACUCCGGGAAACCGGGGCUAAUACCGGAUAUGAAACCUGCGGGCAUCCGCGGGUUUGGAAAGUUUUUCGGUUGAAGAUGAUCUCGCGGCCUAUCAGCUUGUUGGUGAGGUAAUGGCUCACCAAGGCGACGACGGGUAGCCGGCCUGAGAGGGCGACCGGCCACACUGGGACUGAGACACGGCCCAGACUCCUACGGGAGGCAGCAGUGGGGAAUAUUGGGCAAUGGAGGAAACUCUGACCCAGCGACGCCGCGUGCGGGA
rnacentral:rRNA from 1 species